GGCUCAAAGUUGGCCCUGGAGAGAAGGGUCCCCUCUUUAUCUGAGACUGGAAGAAGGGAAGAUAUCCAGGGGCCGUAAGAUGAGGAGAAGGGAUUGUGAGAUAAGGAGAAAGAGAAAAGAGGGCGCUCUAGAUGAAUUUUUCAGUCCAAUAUGAGACAAAGACUUGAGUUGAGAUGGCAGAGGAAGGGGUUGCUGUGAAGAGGCUUGAGGAGGAAGAUAUCAACUUGAGUUUUGGUUUUCAGGCAAAGACUUCCUGCUCUCUGUCUUUUGUUCAUAUUGACUAUUGUGUAUGGCUGGGUCAGAGUUCACAGAAUAAGGAAAGGGCCUGGAGCUGUAAUUUCAUUUGUAGAGGAAGCUCCCCUUGAGAAUCUUCCUCUACCAGUUCAGCUUGGCCUUAGAAGAACCCUUGAUAACUCUGACAUCAGAAACAUUGGCCUGAAUCCAAGUGUCAAUAGGAUGAAUUGGGAUGUAAACUUCAGGGAGGCCAUUAGAAGAGCAAGGUCCCCAGGUCAUCACCCCUAGCAGCACCCACUGACCAGCAAAGAAGCAAAGGAGAGUACUGCCAUCUGCCACCUAAAAGGAGAGAGAAGAGUCACUGGAUCAAGUACUCCAUCAAGCAACAUGCUAACUGGUUGGUGGGACAUCUGGAAGAGAGCCAGAGGGUGCCUGAUUGACCUUGGGUGAUUUAAUAUUGGACUGGCUCAAGGUACAGACUCAAGAGAACUGUUUUUGAACUGCAUCUCUAGAGUCAAGUAAGGAAGAGAUUGUACUUUCAUAACACUUGGUCUUCCUGUGGCCACGAGCACAUAUCCAGCCUAUGUAAGGAUGAGCCUGGUAUUGGACUUCCCUUCUUUUCUGUUUCCUUUCCUUGAACAGGUAACUUUGUGAAUUCAAAAGGUCUAUGAGGGCAGGGGUAGCAACUGGACUUCCCUAGAGAGUAGGGUCCACUGGAGAGAAGAUGCUGUGGAACCCAGUACAAGAGUGUUAUAUUGUAUAUGGGCCACCAGAUGGCAGAGGGAUGUAGGACUAGGCCUGUGACUGUAAACUUGCAUUGAAGACAGAUGUGGAAUUAUCAGAACUACAGAACCUAGAAAUACUGGGAGAGAAAGGAUUUGGGUUUGAAAUAAUCAGAUUGGUUCUGGUUGUUUUUUUUUUUACUGAUCCUAUUUAUAGUUAAUUGAUUUUGUCCUAUGACUGCAUAAGUCACGAUUCUUUGUCUCUGGACUUAGUUCAGAAAUUCAGCUGUUAAGUUUAGAAAUCCAAUUCACUUGUUAAUCACUGUUCUAUUCUUGUGACAAAGAAAUCCAUUACCCUUGAAGGAGGCAGGUGGACAUUAGGUAGUCUGGUCUAGUAUUUUUACAUCACCAAGCUAUUCUUCAAGGAUGUCUGGUUUGUUAUCCAAAGAAGUCUGGUCCACUGUCUCUAAGCCCGAAGGUGGACUCAAACAAAGAACAUUUCUUAGUCACAAGAGGGAAGAAGGGGGCUGUUGCUAGCCCCUCAUUCCCAAUUUCCAACCAUUCAUGUCCCCACCCCCAUGAUGCUAUCUACUGUGUAAUUAAUCAUAUUGUUUACCCUACUUACUCAACUUUGUUCUUUUUUCUCUUGUAUUUCCCCAAACUAUAUAAAGGCUAGUAAGUCCUACCUUAUGGUCUUUGGUCAUUGCGGGAGGCCAUUGACCCAAUUUAUUGGUUACUGCUAGCCUAACUAAUUAAAUUAAUC